rnacentral:rRNA from 1 species
AGAGUUUGAUCAUGGCUCAGAACGAACGCUGGCGGCGUGGAUAAGACAUGCAAGUCGAGCGCUGAUUCAGGGGUAGCAAUAUUCCUGAGUCAGAGCGGCGCAAGGGUGCGUAACACGUGGGUAAUUUGCCAUGAAGUCUGGAAUAACUUGCUGAAAGGCGAGCUAAUGCCGGAUGUGACUUUUGGGAGGCAUCUCUCGAAAUUCAAAGUUGGGGACUGUAAGGCCUGACGCUUCAUGAUAAGCCCGCGGUCUAUCAGCUAGUUGGUGAGGUAACGGCUCACCAAGGCUAAGACGGAUAGCUGGUCUGAGAGGACGACCAGCCACACUGGAACUGAGACACGGUCCAGACACCUACGGGUGGCAGCAGUCGAGAAUUUUUCACAAUGGGCGCAAGCCUGAUGGAGCGACGCCGCGUGGGGGAUGAAUGGCUUCGGCCCGUAAACCCCUGUCAUUUGCGAACAAACCUUUCCACCUAACACGUGGAGAGCUGAUUGUAGCGGAAGAGGAAGGGACGGCUAACUCUGUGCCAGCAGCCGCGGUAAUACAGAGGUCCCGAGCGUUGUUCGGAUUCACUGGGCGUAAAGGGUGCGUAGGUGGUGAGGUAAGUCGGAUGUGAAAUCUCCGGGCUCAACCCGGAAAUGGCAUUGGAAACUACCUUGCUGGAGGAUUUGAGGGGGGAUUGGAAUACUUGGUGUAGCAGUGAAAUGCGUAGAUAUCAAGUGGAACACCAGUGGCGAAAGCGAAUCCCUGGAAAAUACCUGACACUGAGGCACGAAAGCUAGGGGAGCAAACAGGAUUAGAUACCCUGGUAGUCCUAGCCCUAAACGGUGCUUGCUUGCUGUAAGAGGAAUCGACCCCUCUUGUGGCGGAGCUAACGCGUUAAGCAAGCCGCCUGGGAAGUACGGUCGCAGAUUAAAACUCAAAGAAUUGACGGGGCCUGCACAAGC